UUGUACUGCGGAGGGACAUUA
rnacentral:rRNA from 1 species